GGUUUUAUCCUUAUCAUUAUGCACCGCGUGCUUCAGAUUUUUAUGAUAUUGAUAAAUUUGAAUUUCACUUCUCAAUUGGGAAACCCUUCAAGCCGUUUGAUCAACUAAUGGGUGUAUUGCCUGCUGCAAGUGCACAUGCGCUUCCAUUGUUUUAUAGGAAAUUGAUGACAGAUGCGUUGUCACCGAUAUUGGAUUUUUAUCCCGCUGAUUUUCAGGUUGAUAUUAAUGGAAAACGGUUUGC